rnacentral:lncRNA from 1 species
UUUUGAGAAGCUUUUUCUCUUUCUCUGAAACUCUCCCUAGAAGCUUCUACCUAACCGACUCAUCUUCAUCUUCUUCUUCAAUUUUCGUCUGGAUUUCUUGAUGUUUUCAUGGUAUCAAAGCAGGACGAUGAUCCAACGAUACUUUCCUGUUUUUUGUAUCUCAUUCGAAAUCUCGCUGGAAAUUUUUGGGUGUUUCUGAGAUAUUUGGUCAAUGAUGAUUCCGAUCUAAAUCGGGUGUUGAUCUGAGACUUUUAUCACGAUAACUGGU